AGUGCCGUCGAUACCUGUAGGCUAGGAUUCGUUGCUGUGGGGUGGAAAUGUUUGUGUAGCGGUGAAUGCUUAGAAUAUCACACAGAAUAUCGAUUGCGAAGGCAGCUCACAAAGCCAAGAUGACGCUGAGCACGAAGUGUGGGGAUCAAACAGAUUAGAUACCAUGGUAGUCCACACUGUAAACGAUGAUAACUCGCUGCCGGCGAUACACAGUCGGUGGUCAAGCGAAAGCGAUAAGUUAUCCACCUGGGGAGUACGACCGCAAGGUUGAAACUCAAAGGAAUUGACGGGGGCCCGCACAAGCGGAGGAACAUGUGGUUUAAUUCGAUGAUACGCGAGGAACCUUACCCGGGCUCGAACGGUUCAUGAAUAUACAAGAGAUUGUAUAGUCCUUCGGGACAUGUAUCGAGGUGCUGCAUGGUUGUCGUCAGCUCGUGCCGUGAGGUGUCGGCUUAAGUGCCAUAACGAGCGCAACCCUUGUCAUUAGUUACCAUCAGGUCAAGCUGGGGACUCUAAUGAGACUGCCACCGUAAGGUGUGAGGAAGGGGGGGAUGACGUCAAAUCAGCACGGCCCUUAUGUCCGGGGCGACACACGUGUUACAAUGGGGGGUACAGAGGGCAGCCAUCCGGCGACGGAGCGCUAAUCUCAAAAACCCUUCUCAGUUCGGAUUGGAGUCUGCAACUCGA
rnacentral:rRNA from 1 species